rnacentral:rRNA from 1 species
CGCAAGCCUGAUCCAGCCAUGCCGCGUGAGUGAAGAAGGCCCUCGGGYUGUAAAGCUCUUUUGUCCGGAAAGAAAAGCGCCGGGUUAAUACCCUAGUGUCCUGACGGUACCGGAAGAAUAAGCACCGGCUAACUUCGUGCCAGCAGCCGCGGUAAUACGAAGGGUGCAAGCGUUACUCGGAAUUACUGGGCGUAAAGCGUGCGUAGGUGGUUUGUUAAGUCUGAUGUGAAAGCCCUGGGCUCAACCUGGGAAUUGCAUUGGAUACUGGCAGGCUAGAGUGCGGUAGAGGGUAGUGGAAUUCCCGGUGUAGCAGUGAAAUGCGUAGAGAUCGGGAGGAACAUCUGUGGCGAAGGCGACUWCCUGGACCAGCACUGACACUGAGGCACGAAAGCGUGGGGAGCAAACAGGAUUAGAUACCCUGGUAGUCCACGCCCUAAACGAUGCGAACUGGAUGUUGGGCUCAACUUGGAGCUCAGUAUCGAAGCUAACGCGUUAAGUUCGCCGCCUGG